rnacentral:rRNA from 1 species
GUGGGGAAUAUUGGGCAAUGGGCGAAAGCCUGACCCAGCAACGCCGCGUGAGGGAAGAAGGUUUUCGGAUUGUAAACCUCUGUCCUUGGUGACGAAGGAAGUGACGGUAGCCAAGGAGGAAGCCCCGGCUAACUACGUGCCAGCAGCCGCGGUAAUACGUAGGGGGCGAGCGUUGUCCGGAAUGACUGGGCGUAAAGGGCGUGUAGGCGGCCGAUUAAGUCUGGAGUGAAAGUCCUGCUUUCAAGGUGGGAAUUGCGUUGGAGACUGGUUGGCUUGAGUGCGGAAGAGGUAAGUGGAAUUCCCAGUGUAGCGGUGAAAUGCGUAGAGAUUGGGAGGAACACCAGUGGCGAAGGCGACUUACUGGGCCGUAACUGACGCUGAGGCGCGAAAGCGUGGGGAGCGAACAGGAUUAGAAACCCCUGUAGUCC